UACGAGAGCCCCAAGCGUUAUCCGGAAUUAUUGGGCGUAAAGGGUGCGUAGGUGGUUGUGUUAGUCGUUUGUCAAAUCUCCGGGCUUAACCCGGAAACCGCGAACGAAACGGCGCAACUUGAGAGUGUGAGGGGUGAAUGGAACUCAUGGUGUAGGGGUAAAAUCCGUUGAUAUCAUGGGGAACACCAAAAGCGAAGGCAAUUCACUGGCACAUAUCUGACACUCAAGCACGAAAGCGUGGGUAGCGAAUGGG
rnacentral:rRNA from 1 species